rnacentral:rRNA from 1 species
UAGAGUUUGAUCAUGGCUCAGAACGUACGCUGGCGGCACGCCUAACACAUGCAAGUCGAACGAAGUAGCAAUACUUAGUGGCAGACGGGUGAGUAACAUGUAGGUAUCUGCCCUUUGGCCUGGAAUAACACGAGGAAACUUGUGCUAAUACCGGAUAAGUCUUUACGGAGAAAGCUUUAUGCACCAUUGGAUGAGCCUGCACUUGAUUAGUUUGUUGGUGGGGUAAUGGCCUACCAAGACUGUGAUCAAUAGCUGAUUUGAGAGGAUGAUCAGCCACAUUGGGACUGAGACACGGCCCAAACUCCUACGGGAGGCAGCAGUGGGGAAUCUUGCACAAUGGAGGAAACUCUGAUGCAGCGAUGCCGCGUGAGUGAAGAAGGCCCUUGGGUUGUAAAGCUCUUUCGUCGGGGAAGAAAAUGACUGUACCCGAAUAAGAAGGUCCGGCUAACUUCGUGCCAGCAGCCGCGGUAAUACGAAGGGACCUAGCGUAGUUCGGAAUUACUGGGCUUAAAGAGUUCGUAGGUGGUUGAAAAAGUUGGUGGUGAAAUCCCAGAGCUUAACUCUGGAACUGCCAUCAAAACUUUUCAGCUAGAGUAUGAUAGAGGAAAGCAGAAUUUCUAGUGUAGAGGUGAAAUUCGUAGAUAUUAGAAAGAAUACCAAUUGCGAAGGCAGCUUUCUGGAUCAUUACUGACACUGAGGAACGAAAGCAUGGGUAGCGAAGAGGAUUAGAUACCCUCGUAGUCCAUGCCGUAAACGAUGUGUGUUAGACGUUGGAAAUUUAUUUUCAGUGUCGCAGCGAAAGCGAUAAACACACCGCCUGGGGAGUACGACCGCAAGGUUAAAACUCAAAUGAAUUGACGGGGACCCGCACAAGUAGUGGAGCAUGUGGUUUAAUUCGAAGAUACGCGCAGAACCUUACCAACACUUGACAUGUUCGUCGCGACUUUAAGAGAUUAAAGUUUUCGGUUCGGCCGGACGAAACACAGGUGCUGCAUGGCUGUCGUCAGCUCGUGUCGUGAGAUGUUGGGUUAAGUCCCGCAACGAGCGCAACCCUCACUUUUAGUUGCCAUCAUUAAGUUGGGCACUCUGAAAGAACUGCCAGUGAUAAGCUGGAGGAAGGUGGGGAUGACGUCAAGUCCUCAUGGCCCUUACGUGUUGGGCUACACACGUGCUACAAUGGUAUCUACAACAGGAAGCAAGACUGCGAAGUUAAGCAAAUCCUUAAAAGAUACCUCAGUUCGGAUUGCACUCUGCAACUCGAGUGCAUGAAGCUGGAAUUACUAGUAAUCGUGGAUCAGCGUGCCACGGUGAAUGCGUUCCCGGGUCUUGUACACACCGCCCGUCACACCAUGGGAGUUGGUUCUACCUUAAGGUAAGGUUUCAAACCCUUGACCACGGUAUAGUCAGCGACUGGGGUGAAGUCGUAACAAGGUAACCGUA